rnacentral:lncRNA from 1 species
CCCACCUCUUGGGAUCCAUCAAAAUCUUUGGUCAUUAAGGGGUUUGAAUUUCUCUGUUCAAAGAUUUGCCUGACUGCAGGCCUUAAGGCACAAUGUGAACAGAAAAGGUGAGAGCACUUGGGGGAAGGAUCAUGAUCACAGAGUCAACCUCCUCUGACAGUUCACCAACUUCUCAAAGACUUUCCCCAAGUAGCCAGCACUUUCCCACUAUGAUAAGGCAAGUAGCGAGAAAGUUUUGUUGUCGUCUUUGUCUUGCUUUUCCCCACUUCAAGCCUCUGAGGCACCAUGGAAAUCCUUGGAGUACACUUGGAAUUUGAAGAACUAACGCACAGGAGUUGCAUUGGCCUUUGGUUCCAGCAGUCGGGGCCGAUCAAAGACCCCAGUGUGUGUGAUGACUCUGGCCACUCACUUCUACUUGGACUUGCUCGAGGACCACAUGCAGGUGCAUAACAUCUUUUCACAUCUUUUCACAAAGGUCAGCC